GAUGAACGCUGGCUACAGGCUUAACACAUGCAGGUCGAGGGGAAACGACGGGGAAGCUUGCUUCCCCGGGCGUCGACCGGCGCACGGGUGAGUAACGCGUAUCCAACCUGCCUCUGACUGAGGGAUAACCCGUCGAAAGUCGGCCUAAUACCUCAUGGCAUCGUCUGCGGGCAUCCAACGACGAUUAAAGAUUUCAUCGGUCAGAGAUGGGGAUGCGUCUGAUUAGCUUGUUGGCGGGGUAACGGCCCACCAAGGCGACGAUCAGUAGGGGUUCUGAGAGGAAGGUCCCCCACAUUGGAACUGAGACACGGUCCAAACUCCUACGGGAGGCAGCAGUGAGGAAUAUUGGUCAAUGGGCGAGAGCCUGAACCAGCCAAGUAGCGUGCAGGAUGACGGCCCUAUGGGUUGUAAACUGCUUUUAUGCGGGGAUAAAGUGAGGGACGUGUCCUUCAUUGCAGGUACCGCAUGAAUAAGGACCGGCUAAUUCCGUG
rnacentral:rRNA from 1 species